rnacentral:rRNA from 1 species
AUUGAACGCUGGCGGCAUGCCUUACACAUGCAAGUCGAACGGCAGCACGGGUGCUUGCACCUGGUGGCGAGUGGCGAACGGGUGAGUAAUACAUCGGAACAUGUCCUGUAGUGGGGGAUAGCCCGGCGAAAGCCGGAUUAAUACCGCAUACGAUCUACGGCUGAAAGCGGGGGACCUUCGGGCCUCGCGCUAUAGGGUUGGCCGAUGGCUGAUUAGCUAGUUGGUGGGGUAAAGGCCUACCAAGGCGACGAUCAGUAGCUGGUCUGAGAGGACGACCAGCCACACUGGGACUGAGACACGGCCCAGACUCCUACGGAAGGCAGCAGUGGGGAAUUUUGGACAAUGGGCGAAAGCCUGAUCCAGCAAUGCCGCGUGUGUGAAGAAGGCCUUCGGGUUGUAAAGCACUUUUGUCCGGAAAGAAAUCCUUGGCCCUAAUACGGUCGGGGGAUGACGGUACCGGAAGAAUAAGCACCGGCUAACUACGUG